ensembl:lncRNA
CAAGAACAACAGGAUGAGGAAGACUGAUGGUGCAGAGACGACGUCUUCUCUGUUCGACGUACCUCAGGUCUGGUAGCGAUGGAACCCGAGAUCCUGGCUCCUUACCACCUGGGUUCCUACUUCCUACCCCUGGCCACUUGACUCCUACCCCUAGGACCGGGUUUGGAACGAGGCCUGAAGUUUCAACCAGUUGCACUUAUCUGACUGGCUGAGAGAAACGAAGCCAUAAAUCAUGAUAGGAGUCCUCAGCAUGUGGUAUAGCAGGAUAUUCUUUAGGAAAGAAAAAAACUGUCCCAAAUGGCACCCUAAUCCGUAUAUAGUACACUACUUUUAACUACGGCCAAUAGAGCUCUGGUUCAAACUAGUGCACUGUGGAUUAUUGUGUCCCAAAUAUUUUUUUCACUGCUUUUUUUGUUGUUGCUCGCACUGUUUUUCAUUUCUGAUUGAUUGAUAAAUCCCCUGUAUCGUGAUGGAUUAGGUAGUUACCACUCUGCAUGUUGUGGCGCUACUGACAGCUGUUCAGUACAGAAAGAGAACUCACACCCAGGCUCUACUCGCCUAACCCACCAGGCUCUGAAAUGGCAGCUUGAUCUCUGUUCCACUACUCUUAAGCAGGGUCAAUAGCGCUCUGGUCAAAACUAGUGCUCUAUAUAGGGGAAUGGGGCCAUUUGGUUCACAGCCUGAUCUCUGUUCCACUACUCUUAACCAGGGUCAAUAGCGCUCUGGUCAAAACUAGUGCUCUAUAUAGGGGAAUGGGGGCCAUUUGGUUCACAGCCAGGGUCUGUGUUCCAUGAGGAUCAACGUUAUAGAAUAUUCAUCUAGAAAUACACUAUCUAGAUUUGAUGCGCUUCUUUGUUCUGUAGAAGAGGGAAUCGUGUCAUGGUGUGGUGUGUAUUUUCUACGUUGUAUCAUCUCGAACACCAGGCCAGGCUCGUUGUUCCACGACCUCCUAGUUACUGUCACCGAGUCUGAAAUCUUUCCCCCUCACUGUCUGUUACCGGUGCCAAACCGGUUUAGUUUUAACUGUAAAAAAAAUGUUGCCUCCGUGACCCGUUCAUCGUGAACCAUCAUUAAGUGUCUCUUAAACCCCCAAUGCCACUUGACUGAUUCUAGUGUAACACUGUCCUGGUGCUGUAGUGGGAUUUUAAAUGUAGUUUAACUUCCUUUUUAAAAUAAAAAAAAAAUGUGUAUAAAGUUAAAGCCCCUCCCCUCUAAUUUUAUAGAUCCUGCUAGAACCUUCUCUAAUAGUGUGUCCUAAAUGGCUCCUGUGUAGUGCAGUGUACUAGAAAGGGAAUAGGGCCCUGUAGUGCAGUGUACUAGAAAGGGAAUAGGGCCCUGUGCAGUGUACUAGAAAGGGAAUAGGGCCCUGUGUAGUGCAGUGUACUAGGGAAUAGGGCCCUGUAUAGUGCAGUGUACUUGAAAGGGAAUAGAGAGCCAUUUUGUGAAACAACAAGAGGUGUGUUUUUUUUUUGGCGUGGUUGGUCUUUUCCCUACAACAGACAGUCUAGUGGCAUUAUUACUUGUAUGGACGACUUUUUUGUUGUUGUGGCGUUUAAAUGUCUUUUAUUUUUGGGGUCUUUACUUUCCCCUCGUUGUAAACGUCCUCCCUUGCAACUGUGUCAAAUAUUGUAUCAAUGCAAAACGUGUCAACGUUAAAGAAUACGCUGUUUUUGUAUGAAAAAUGUCGCAACAAAUAUUUCCUUAUGAACAGGAACAAUUAAAGAACGUUUCUUAGUAA